rnacentral:lncRNA from 1 species
AAAUGGACCCUGAGGAAAUGGAUACCUGAGCAGGACAAGGACCUUGGAGUCACAGAGGUUCUCGAUAAUUAGAGAAAGGGGCCUGAUGAUACUGGGGGUGCACAGAUCACAUUUAGGUCCUUGAGGGUCAAUGGAGGCCUCUCUUCUGUCGUGCCCAAGUCUGGGCCUCUGCAGAGAGACCUCCAUGCCCAGAAAUCAGAAGUCAGAUUGAACAAGAAAUCCCAGCCUUUCUAGGUGAGCUCCUGCCCCCAAAAUGCUGUCUCCAGCUCACACAGCACCACAGGAGGUUUCCCGCCACUGAAGAGGAGGAGGGGGCCAGCCUCAUUCCUCUCCCGGCUGCCCCUCCGGAGCUCAAAGACAGUGAGUGAGGAGGGACCCUGGUCUCCCUCUUUGGCUACAGAGGUUUCCCAGAGGAAGAUCUGGAGUGAAAAGGCAGCAGAUGCAACACAAGGGCAGAAACUCACCUCCAAGAAUGGCUCCCUCGCAUCCACAGUACUGGCCCCUUCGAUGCAAGUUUCCUCUGCUGCCAUGCAGGCGAGGGGAGCCUCUGACGCUGUACCUCCCUCCCAGCUGGGGUUCCGACUCACGGCUGAAGACCUGGACCUGGAGAAGGAAACAGUGCUGCUAUGCAUCAAAAGUGCAUUGUGGGGUGAGGCCAAGGCCAUCCGGGACUGGGGAGCCUUGCAGCCUUCCCAUAUUUUGCCACCACCUGCGGCAGCAAUGGCUCCUCUGCCCACUGCCUCUCCAGACCCCCUCCACCCUCUGGGACUAAUGCACAGGAGGAGGGACGCAGGACGCAAGACUGCCCAGGCCCAGUAGCCCUCCUGGAAUCUGCUGCAGUGGCUACCUCUAUGCCUCCUGUGUCUGGGAGGAAGCACAGCUCACCAGGGCCCCUGUUCUCCCCCUUAGAGCUCCAUCCAGUCACCUCUUCAUACUUCCUGGUCUCAGCCUUGCUGACCCUGCUCCCUCCUCA